GGAAUCUUCCGCAAUGGACGCAAGUCUGACGGAGCAACGCCGCGUGAGUGAGGAAGGCCUUCGGGUCGUAAAGCUCUGUUGCCAGGGAAGAACGGGUAGGGGAGUAACUGCCCUUGCCAUGACGGUACCUGAGAAGAAAGCCCCGGCUAACUACGUGCCAGCAGCCGCGGUAAUACGUAGGGGGCAAGCGUUGUCCGGAAUUAUUGGGCGUAAAGCGCGCGCAGGCGGCCUUGUAAGUCUUGUGUUUAAACCUGGGGCUCAACCUCGGGACGCAUGGGAAACUGCAAAGCUUGAGUACAGAAGAGGAAAGUGGAAUUCCACGUGUAGCGGUGAAAUGCGUAGAGAUGUGGAGGAACACCAGUGGCGAAGGCGACUUUCUGGGCUGUAACUGACGCUGAGGCGCGAAAGCGUGGGGAGCAAA
rnacentral:rRNA from 1 species